CUUGGUAAGAGAGGAAGGUGAGAGAGACAUAAUCAAGGGAGAGAAACUCACAUUCAUCACCAUCUUUUCCAUUUUCGUAACUCUUGAUACAUCUCCACUAAAUCAGCUUCUGUUUUGAAGGAGAAAAGCAAGCUUGAAGUUGGGACAUGCAUGCUGAUUGUGUGUUAAAGAGUGGUUACGGGUUUGAUCAUGUUAGAGGUGAAGAGUUGAUCAAGGAGGAAGCCUAAUGGCUGCAUAAUCAUCAUCUCAACCUUCUUUUUAGCAAGGUGCAGUUUAGUAGCGUUUGGUCAGUAGCAGGUUUGGACUGAAGACUUAGAAGUGGUGAUGGCUCGGAGACCUCGUCAGAUCUCUUUUUCCGCUGUGCAGAUCCAUUGAAGACACAUGUUUUGUUAUUCCUAGUAGAAUUUUAUGUUGUACUCAAUAGGGAUCUCUCUGUAUAACUAUAGCUUUUGUAUGUACUCAAUAUCAAUUUUUAACAUUUCAUGCAUAAUAUACUAGUCAUUUAUGUGUGGGGUGUUACAUUAAAAGAC